rnacentral:rRNA from 1 species
CGGGUGAGUAACGCGUAUGCGACCUGCCCGUUGCAGGGGGAUAAUCGGGAGAAAUCCCGUCUAAUACCGCGUAAUGCCGCGGGGCUGCAUGGCCCUGCGGCCAAAGGGAGCGAUUCCGGCAACGGAUGGGCAUGCGUGACAUUAGCUAGUUGGCAGGGCAACGGCCCACCAAGGCGACGAUGUCUAGGGGUUCUGAGAGGAAGGUCCCCCACACUGGUACUGAGACACGGACCAGACUCCUACGGAAGGCAGCAG